rnacentral:rRNA from 1 species
GUGGCGAACGGGUGAGUAACACGUGAGCAACCUGCCCCUGACUCUGGGAUAAGCGCUGGAAACGGCGUCUAAUACUGGAUAUGUGACGUGACCGCAUGGUCUGCGUCUGGAAAGAAUUUCGGUUGGGGAUGGGCUCGCGGCCUAUCAGCUUGUUGGUGAGGUAAUGGCUCACCAAGGCGUCGACGGGUAGCCGGCCUGAGAGGGUGACCGGCCACACUGGGACUGAGACACGGCCCAGACUCCUACGGGAGGCAGCAGUGGGGAAUAUUGCACAAUGGGCGCAAGCCUGAUGCAGCAACGCCGCGUGAGGGACGACGGCCUUCGGGUUGUAAACCUCUUUUAGCAGGGAAGAAGCGAAAGUGACGGUACCUGCAGAAAAAGCGCCGGCUAACUACGUGCCAGCAGCCGCGGUAAUACGUAGGGCGCAAGCGUUAUCCGGAAUUAUUGGGCGUAAAGAGCUCGUAGG